rnacentral:tRNA from 1 species
GGGGUUGUGGCUCAGAGGAAAAGCAUUUGCCUAGCACGCAUGAGGCACUGAGUUCGAUUCUCAGCACCA